UGCGUAGGUGGUUGUUUAAGUCCGUUGUGAAAGAUCAGGGCUCAACCCUGAGAGUGCAUCGGAAACUGGGCAUCUUGAGGACAGGAGAGGAAAGUGGAAUUCCUAGUGUAGCGGUGAAAUGCGUAGAUAUUAGGAGGAACACCAGUGGCGAAGGCGACUUUCUGGACUGUAACUGACGCUGAGGCGCGAAAGCGUGGGGAGCAAACAGGAUUAGAUACCCUGGUA
rnacentral:rRNA from 1 species